rnacentral:rRNA from 1 species
GCUCCAAUAGCGUAUAUUAAAGUUGUUGCGGUUAAAAAGCUCGUAGUUGGAUUUCUGUUGAGGACAGUCGGUCCGCACUAUGUGCGUGUAUCUGAUUUGGCCUCGGCAUCCUCUCGGAAAACAUUACUGCGCUUGAUUGCGUGGUGUGGAGUUCGAGACUUUUUACUUUGAGGAAAUUAGAGUGUUCACGGCAGGCAAUC